rnacentral:rRNA from 1 species
UACGGGGGGGGCAAGCGUUGUUCGGAAUUACUGGGCGUAAAGGGCUCGUAGGUGGCCAACUAAGUCGGACGUGAAAUCCCUCGGCUUAACCGGGGAACUGCGUCCGAUACUGGUUGGCUUGAGUUUGGGAGAGGGAUGCGGAAUUCCAGGUGUAGCGGUGAAAUGCGUAGAUAUCAUGAGGAAUACCAGAGGCGAAGGCGGCUACCUAGACAAUUGCUGACGCUCAGGCACGAAAGCGUGGGGAGCAAAAGGG